CAGACCGAAAAUGCAGCCACAGUUUUGGCCUGAAUUUCCCUUGGAUCGAAAACGAAGCCCGGGGAAAGAUUUUCUAAGAACUGCUUUUGGCUACUCCAUAUUGAUUGGAAGUAAGGCCAUCAGGAAUUCUUGUACGAAGUGCUCACAGUGAAGCCAGAGGAAAGCCAGAAGAUGGUUACAGAAGGAAAGUAGUUUGCAAGCUGGUCUGCUACUGUUGGCGAGCCACUGGAGGAUACUUGGUGACCAACUUGUUUUGGUCAUCGAUAGAGAUCGUCCAGGAGGGUGCUUGUCUGGGAAUGACCUUCAUGACCUCACCACCGCUCCGCCCCGGAAAUAUCAACCGCCAACCAGAAGCUCUGUACUACGGCCUACAGGAUGUGGUUGACUGGUCCCAGUGAUGGACAGGUGACCAGCCAGCCCCCUAGCUGCCCUCUCCUGCCGUGACUCCCACCCCUCCGCCCC
ensembl:lncRNA